rnacentral:rRNA from 1 species
UGAGAAACCUGCCUUGAAGUUCGGGAUAGCUCGGCGAAAGUCGAAUUAAUACCGGAUGUGGCCUAGGGAUAGCAUUUUCCCUUGGUUAAAGCUCGGUCACAGAGCGCUUUUAGAUGGUCUCGCGGACUAUCAACUUGUAGGUGAGGUAACGGCUCACCAAGGCUACCACGGAUAACUGAUCGAGAGGAUGAUCAAUCACACUGGAACUGAGACACGGUCCACACA